rnacentral:rRNA from 1 species
UGUCUGUUGCCACCACGAGAGUGGGGACUCAGGCGGAACUGCCGGUGGCAAACCGGAGGGAAGUGGGGACGACGUCAAGUCAUCAUGGCCCUUAUGUCCUGGGCUACACACGUGCUACAAUGGCCGGUACAGAGCGCAGCGAGGCCGCGAGGCGGAGCGAAUCGCUUAAAGCCGGUCCCAGUACGGAUUGGAGUCUGCAACCCGACUCCAUGAAGUUGGAAUCGCUAGUAAUCGCGCAUCAGCAUGGCGCGGUGAAUACGUUCCCGGGCCUU